rnacentral:rRNA from 1 species
UGCAGUCGAGCGGACAGAUGGGAGCUUGCUCCCUGAUGUUAGCGGCGGACGGGUGAGUAACACGUGGGUAACCUGCCUGUAAGACUGGGAUAACUCCGGGAAACCGGGGCUAAUACCGGAUGCUUGUUUGAACCGCAUGGUUCAAACAUAAAAGGUGGCUUCGGCUACCACUUACAGAUGGACCCGCGGCGCAUUAGCUAGUUGGUGAGGUAAUGGCUCACCAAGGCAACGAUGCGUAGCCGACCUGAGAGGGUGAUCGGCCACACUGGGACUGAGACACGGCCCAGACUCCUACGGGAGGCAGCAGUAGGGAAUCUUCCGCAAUGGACGAAAGUCUGACGGAGCAACGCCGCGUGAGUGAUGAAGGUUUUCGGAUCGUAAAGCUCUGUUGUUAGGGAAGAACAAGUACCGUUCGAAUAGGGCGGUACCUUGACGGUACCUAACCAGAAAGCCACGGCUAACUACGUGCCAGCAGCCGCGGUAAUACGUAGGUGGCAAGCGUUGUCCGGAAUUAUUGGGCGUAAAGGGCUCGCAGGCGGUUCCUUAAGUCUGAUGUGAAAGCCCCCGGCUCAACCGGGGAGGGUCAUUGGAAACUGGGGAACUUGAGUGCAGAAGAGGAGAGUGGAAUUCCACGUGUAGCGGUGAAAUGCGUAGAGAUGUGGAGGAACACCAGUGGCGAAGGCGACUCUCUGGUCUGUAACUGACGCUGAGGAGCGAAAGCGUGGGGAGCGAACAGGAUUAGAUACCCUGGUAGUCCACGCCGUAAACGAUGA